UGCCACAUGACAGGAUAGGAGCCCUGUAGGAAGACAGUGCAGCUUUGUCCAACAGAGUGCGGCCAAGCUGUGCACCCAAGGGCUGCCCUUGCUGGGAGAAAGGCAUGCCUUUUUCUUGACACAAACGUACCACCUACUAACCGAACCCUUACCUGACAAGGACCUGCCCACCAAGUGGGAUCUCUGUCUUCUAAUGUAUCUGCCUGCCUUGCAGGUGGGGAGAGGCAACACGUUUUUCUAUUUUUUUCAGCCUGGUGAAGCUUUUUCUGCCCACAAAGACAUCUUCUGCAUGCCAAGCCAUCAGCCUGCUUAAGGAACCUGAGCUCCACAGGACUCAAUGAAAAAGCAACUGUAACAGAAGAGAUAGGUGUAUUUCCCCAAAACUGAAAGCCAUUUUCAUCUCUUGUUUUCUGGAUGCCUCAGAUCCCAG